AAAAAAAAAAAAAAAAAAAGGUGGAAGAGAAGAUUGAAAGCUGCUACUGGCCUACUGCCAGUGUUACUUCCUCAGAUCGUCCUAUCACUGUAGACAAUCUCUAAGUACUCUCUCUUUGUUUCCUUCUCUUCUUCUUGUGCUUUACUGCUCUCCUUCUCCCUCUCUCCCCCCCUCACUUGGGUUUCUGCCUUUUUUAUAAUUUGUCUCGGGA
rnacentral:misc_RNA from 1 species